GCCGACAUAGCUUAGUUUGGCAGAGCAGCUGAAUCGUAAUCAGCAGGUCGUGGGUUCGAGCCCCUCUGUCGGCU
rnacentral:tRNA from 1 species